rnacentral:rRNA from 1 species
UCCUAUGUUCCCAUGCAUUGAAUCACCGAAGUUAAGCAACGUUGGGUUUGGUUAGUACUUGGAUGGGUGACCGCCUGGGAAUACCAAAUGCUGUUGUCU